rnacentral:rRNA from 1 species
AAACCAACAGGGAUUGCCUUAGUAGCGGCGAGUGAAGCGGCAAAAGCUCAAAUUUGAAAUCUGGCGCCUUCGGUGUCCGAGUUGUAAUUUGAAGAUUGUAACCUUGGGGUUGGCUCUUGUCUAUGUUUCUUGGAACAGGACGUCACAGAGGGUGAGAAUCCCGUGCGAUGAGAUGCCCAAUUCUAUGUAAGGUGCUUUCGAAGAGUCGAGUUGUUUGGGAAUGCAGCUCUAAGUGGGUGGUAAAUUCCAUCUAAAGCUAAAUAUUGGCGAGAGACCGAUAGCGAACAAGUACAGUGAUGGAAAGAUGAAAAGAACUUUGAAAAGAGAGUGAAAAAGUACGUGAAAUUGUUGAAAGGGAAGGGUUUGAGAUCAGACUCGAUAUUUUGUGAGCCUUGCCUUCGUGGCGGGGUGACCCGCAGCUUAUCGGGCCAGCAUCGGUUUGGGCGGUAGGAUAAUGGCGUAGGAAUGUGACUUUACUUCGGUGAAGUGUUAUAGCCUGCGUUGAUGCUGCCUGCCUAGACCGAGGACUGCGAUUUUAUCAAGGAUGCUGGCAUANUGAUCCCAAACCGC